rnacentral:rRNA from 1 species
GAUGAACGCUGGCGGCGUGCCUAAUACAUGCAAGUCGAGCGAACGGACGAGAAGCUUGCUUCUCUGAUGUUAGCGGCGGACGGGUGAGUAACACGUGGAUAACCUACCUAUAAGACUGGGAUAACUUCGGGAAACCGGAGCUAAUACCGGAUAAUAUUUUGAACCGCAUGGUUCAAAAGUGAAAGACGGUCUUGCUGUCACUUAUAGAUGGAUCCGCGCUGCAUUAGCUAGUUGGUAAGGUAACGGCUUACCAAGGCAACGAUGCAUAGCCGACCUGCGAGGGUGAUCGGCCACACUGGAACUUAGACACGGUCCAGACUCCUACGGGAGGCAGCAGUAGGGAAUCUUCCGCAAUGGGCGAAAGCCUGACGGAGCAACGCCGCGUGAGUGAUGAAGGUCUUCGGAUCGUAAAACUCUGUUAUUAGGGAAGAACAUAUGUGUAAGUAACUGUGCACAUCUUGACGGUACCUAAUCAGAAAGCCACGGCUAACUACGUG